rnacentral:snoRNA from 14 species
CAGGCUGUGAUGAUUGGCGCAGGGGUACGGACCUCAGCUGAAUCAUGGGAGCUGAAUGUUCGUGCUUCUCCUUUGUCCUGCACGUGGCAGGGUGAGGGGGAGCACUUACAUGAGACUUGCCGCAAUCUGAGCCUG